rnacentral:rRNA from 1 species
CCUACGGGCGACUGCAGUGAGGAAUAUUGGUCAAUGGACGAGAGUCUGAACCAGCCAAGUAGCGUGAAGGAUGACUGCCCUAUGGGUUGUAAACUUCUUUUAUAUGGGAAUAAAAUGUUCCACGUGUGGGAUUUUGUAUGUACCAUAUGAAUAAGGAUCGGCUAACUCCGUGCCAGCAGCCGCGGUAAUACGGAGGAUCCGAGCGUUAUCCGGAUUUAUUGGGUUUAAAGGGAGCGUAGGUGGAUUGUUAAGUCAGUUGUGAAAGUUUGCGGCUCAACCGUAAAAUUGCAGUUGAAACUGGCAGUCUUGAGUACGGUAGAGGUGGGCGGAAUUCGUGGUGUAGCGGUGAAAUGCUUAGAUAUCACGAAGAACUCCGAUUGCGAAGGCAGUUCACUGGACUGCAACUGACACUGAGGCUCGAAAGUGUGGGUAUCAAACAGGAUUAGAUACCCCUGUAGUC